UACGGAGGAUCCAAGCGUUAUCCGGAAUCAUUGGGUUUAAAGGGUCCGCAGGCGGAUUUAUAAGUCAGUGGUGAAAUCCCGUUGCUUAACAACGGAACUGCCAUUGAUACUGUAAGUCUUGAAUUCGAUCGAAGUGGGCGGAAUAUGACAUGUAGCGGUGAAAUGCUUAGAUAUGUCAUAGAACACCGAUAGCGAAGGCAGCUCACUAGGUCUGGAUUGACGCUCAGGGACGAAAGCGUGGGGAGCAAACAGG
rnacentral:rRNA from 1 species